GAUGUCGAUUUGGAGGUUGUUCCCCAGAGAAGUGUCUUCCGGACCUAACGCGUUAAAUCGACCCCCUUGGGAGUACGGCCGCAAGGUUAAAACUCAAAUGAAUUGACGGGGGCCGCACAAGCGGUGGAGCAUGUGGUUUAAUUCGAUGCAACGCGAAGAACCUUACCUACUCUUGACAUCCAGAGAAUUGAGCAGAGAUGCUUAAGUGCCUUCGGGAGCUCUGAGACAGGUGCUGCAUGGCUGUCGUCAGCUCGUGUUGUGAAAUGUUGGGUUAAGUCCCGCAACGAGCGCAACCCUUAUCCUUUGUUGCCAGCAUUCGGUCGGGAACUCAAAGGAGACUGCCGGUGAUAAACCGGAGGAAGGAGUGGAUGCCGUCAAGUCAUCAUAGUCCCGCCGAGUAGGCCCACAGACCUGCUACGGUGGGUUGCACAAAUAAAACCUUC
rnacentral:rRNA from 1 species